rnacentral:rRNA from 1 species
GCACUUUCAGCGUUGCUUUUGAGAUGACGAGCGGCGGACGGGUGAGUAAUGCCCUGGGAAUUUGCCCAUUUGUGGGGGAUAACAGUUGGAAACGACUGCUAAUACCGCAAUACGCCCUACGGGGGAAAGCAGGGGACCUUCGGGCCUUGCGCUGAUGGAUAAGCCCAGGUGGGAUUAGCUAGUAGGUGAGGUAAAAGGCUCACCUAGGCGACGAUCCCUAGCUGGUCUGAGAGGAUGAUCAGCCACACUGGGACUGAGACACGGCCCAGACUCCUACGGGAGGCAGCAGUGGGGAAUAUUGCACAAUGGGGGAAACCCUGAUGCAGCCAUGCCGCGUGUGUGAAGAAGGCCUUCGGGUUGUAAAGCACUUUCAGCGAGGAGGAAAGGGUGUAAAGUUAAUACCUUACAUCUGUGACGUUACUUCGCAGAAGAAGCACCU